rnacentral:rRNA from 1 species
GUAGGUGGCAAGCGUUGUCCGGAAUUAUUGGGCGUAAAGCGCGCGCAGGCGGUUCUUUAAGUCUGAUGUGAAAGCCCACGGCUCAACCGUGGAGGGUCAUUGGAAACUGGAGAACUUGAGUACAGAAGAGGAAAGCGGAAUUCCACGUGUAGCGGUGAAAUGCGUAGAGAUGUGGAGGAACACCAGUGGCGAAGGCGGCUUUCUGGUCUGUAACUGACGCUGAGGCGCGAAAGCGUGGGGAGCAAACAGGAUUAGUUACCCUGGUAGUCCACGCCGUAAACGAUGAGUGCUAAGUGUUAGGGGGUUUCCGCCCCCUUAGUGCUGCAGCUAACGCAUUAAGCACUCCGCCUGGGGAUACGGCCGCAAGGCUG